rnacentral:rRNA from 1 species
UAAAUACCAGCANGAGUNCNAUAGCGAAGAAGUACCNNGAGGNNAAGUUGAAAANAACUUUGAANANAGAGUUCAAGAGUACGUGAAACCGCUGAGAGGCAAACUGGUGGAGCUGAAAUGGCCUCGGGGAAUUCAGUCUCCAGUGAGGUCACAGUUUUCAGUGUCAGAUUUAACGACUGCUCUGUUAGCUGUAGACUUUGCUGUAGGUGCACUUUCCUCGAUUCGGGCCAAACCACGACCGGCGAGUUUAGAUUGUCUAUCGUGCUUGGAAGGUAGCGCCGCCUUGUGCGGCGUAUUAUAGACAAGCGUAUGGAUUGAUCGGCGCGCCGGCAGAAAACGCCUGCCCUCGUUGGCUCAUUAUGACGGCUGUUUUCGAUGCUGGUCUGGCUUCACUACUUCGGUAGGGGAGUUGGAGCGGUGUUGAUUACGGACGCCCUCUAUGAUUGGCGUUAUAAAGUCUGUGGUUAUGAAGUAGGUAGUCCACCUGACCCGUCUUGAAACACGGACCAAGGAGUCUAACAUGUGCGCGAGUCAUUGGGUUUACGAAACCUACAGGCGCAGUGAAGGUAAAGAUCCAUAUUGGUGGAUUGAGGUGGGAUGCUGAGUUACGUGCUUAGCCGCACCACCGGCCCGUUCUUUAUCUAUCUGAUGAGGGCGGAGCAUGAGCGUACACGUUGGUACCCGAAAGAUGGUGAACUAUGCUUGCNCAGGUCGAAGCCAGAGGAAACUCUGGUGGAGGACCGCAGCGAUUCUGACGUGCAAAUCGAUCGUCAAACGUGAGUAUAGGGGCGAAAGACUAAUCGANCCAUCUAGUAGCUGGUYCCCUYNRARUUUYCCCUCAGKAUCUGNRCYMCGGGRGWAAAGMAAYUUUAUUAUMMGSUAAAGCKAANGAUUAGASGWANUKCUNNGAAANCGCUCUCCAYYUAUUC